AGAUAAUAGAUACCCUGGUAGUCCACGCCCUAAACGAUGUCGACUGGUUGUUGGGGGUUUGACACUCUCAGUAAACGAAAGCUAAACGCGUGAAGUCGACCGCCUGGGGAGUACGGCCGCAAGGUUAAAACUCAAAGGAAUUGACGGGGACCCGCACAAGCGGUGGAUUAUGUGGAUUAAUUCGAUGCAACGCGAAAAACCUUACCUACCCUUGACAUGUCCUGAAUCCCGGUGAGAGCUGGGAGUGCCCGAAAGGGAACGGGAACACAGGUGCUGCAUGGCUGUCGUCAGCUCGUGUCGUGAGAUGUUGGGUUAAGUCCCGCAACGAGCGCAACCCUUGUCAUUAGUUGCUACAUUCAGUUGGGCACUCUAAUGAGACUGCCGGUGACAAACCGGAGGAAGGUGGGGAUGACGUCAAGUCCUCAUGGCCCUUAUGGGUAGGGCUUCACACGUAAUACAAUGGCGCGUACAGAGGGUUGCCAAGCCGCGAGGUGGAGCCAAUCCCACAAAGCGCGUCGUAGUCCGGAUUGGAGUCUGCAACUCGACUCC
rnacentral:rRNA from 1 species